CUUGAAUAACAGUGAUCUGGUCACAACUGAAGGAAUAAGGUGGGAAUUUGGAAGACAAGCAGACUUUUUUCUCCACAUUCCAUAAAAAUUCCUUUAGAAAGAGUGACGGUAGAUUGAAAACGUUGAAGAGUGGGAAGGAAUUGUCUUAAAGGAAGGACUGAAGCCUAUGUUACAAGCGAUUGUCGGCUACCAACCAAAAUUUCACGACCUCCUUUGCAUGUGUGAAGUUGUCACCAGGAGGCAGCUGCCACAUUUUCUACUACUCCAGGUUUAGGUACAUGGCACUUUCUCCAAAAUAGAAGAGAAUGUGUCUUAUUUCCUGGCCAG
rnacentral:lncRNA from 1 species